AGAGGGGCACAUUCAAUUGGUAGUUCGCAAGGCUCAUAACCUUGGGGUCAAGGGCUCAAAUCCUGUCUCCGCAA
rnacentral:tRNA from 1 species